GCCGGCGACAAGUCGGAGGAAGGUGGGGAUGACGUCAAAUCAUCAUGCCCCUUAUGACCUGGGCUACACACGUGCUACAAUGGGCGGUACAAAGGGCUGCGAACCCGCGAGGGGGAGCGAAUCCCAAAAAGCCGCUCUCAGUUCGGAUUGCAGGCUGCAACUCGCCUGCAUGAAGCCGGAAUCGCUAGUAAUCGCGGAUCAGCAUGCCGCGGUGAAUACGUUCCCGGGCCUU
rnacentral:rRNA from 1 species